rnacentral:lncRNA from 1 species
AAGUUAGAUAUAGUUUAGAUCCAAAUGAAACCAUAUUUCCAGAGCUGGGAUUGGUUAAGGGAAAAAAGGGUAAGCCAAGCAUUGAGUUUAUUUUGAGAUAUGGCUGCUAACAGUGCUUCUCUUUCUUUAUAAGCAGGGAGACUUCUCCGAAAUUCAAGCAUUUUUUGUCCUUCUGGUGAUUCCUGCCAAGCCUGUUGUUGAUUACGCAAUUGUAAACUUCUUCGCCUCAGAAUUUUCUCCAUGACAACACUAGUAGAUAAUUGAGGGUCCUGUUGCUCAGGGAGACCUUCAUCAGUGGUGAAACUGUCAGUGCUACUUGACCUUGAAAAGGCAAUAUCAGGAAAGCUCCCUCGAUUUGUUCGCUUCCGAGCAAGGUAUUCUCCAAGCAAAUGAUCCACUUCUCUUUGCAAACCAUUAGGAAUAGAGACCUCCCUCUGAGGUCUUUUAUCAUCAAGAUCUGAUCGGUAGUUUGGCAAAGGUACCUUGCUGAAAACAACCACCCUUCCAUAUUGGCGGCUAUAUAAACCCAUUCUUUCAGCUAGUGCAGAUAGCUGCUCAUAAUCACGCCUGUCCUUUUUCUCUCGUGAUACCACCUCUUGCUCGCUUCCAUUGCGGAGAAGCAUACUUAAUUUCCACUUCCACUCAUCAACAUUAUCUAGAGUGGAGGCACCUAUAAAAAUUCUUGGUAUGAGUGAGAUAAGGAAACUAGAUGGUAAAGAAAAUGAAUUUAUAGAGUUGUAACUUAUACUGCAUUGAAACUCAAAAUCUUACAAUUCCCACAUCAUAGCUCCAAGCAUCCCACUCUUCCACAAAAAUGGGUUUGUUUAGCCCAAGUACAAAGAUUGGGUCAUGGUUAUGGACGAAAAGUAAAGCUUGAAGAUUUCAUAUUUUGCAUUUCAUAAAAAGGUGUAUAUCAUGACUAAACAAAUAUAAAAUUCAGUGACUGGAUCGAUUUUCGUAAUUGGUUCCCUAAGGUAACAAUGUGAGCAGUGUAGGUGUCUGGGGGAAGGCAGAGAGAGGUGGGAUCAUGUAUUCUCAAACUGGUUGUAUUGGUAUAGCUACCUAGCACGCUUUACUUUAUAAUUUAUUCAAGAAUCAAUCAAGUCAUGAUCAGGUCAAAACAUGGAAGAUCCUAAUUCAAACCCAAAUAUCAGGGCAGCAACCUAAGCAUCCAGCCUCCUCCAAACACUGCCACCCUUCUUCAUUCCUCUUUGCCUUCAACUUAUCCAUCCACUACAGGCCUUGUAUGACCACUAUUGGCCCCCUUCAUCCACCCCCUCUGCUUUCAACCUCAUCAAUCCCCUACCAGCCGCAUUUUUCGCCAUCAUCCUCCUUUGACCAAUCCAACCCGCUUCUAGCUUCACCUCUAUCUAGCAUCCUUCAUCGAUGUUACCAUGGCCAACCUCCUCUACUCGAACCC